UACGUAGGGAGCAAGCGUUGUCCGGAAUCAUUGGGCGUAAAGCGCGCGUAGGCGGCCUCGUAAGUCCGCUGUGAAAGUCAAAGGCUCAACCUUUGAAUGCCGGUGGAUACUGCGAGGCUAGAGUCCGGAAGAGGCGAGUGGAAUUCCUGGUGUAGCGGUGGAAUGCGCAGAUAUCAGGAGGAACACCAACGGCGAAGGCAGCUCGCUGGGACGGUACUGACGCUAAGGCGCGAAAGCGUGGGGAGCGAACAGG
rnacentral:rRNA from 1 species